rnacentral:rRNA from 1 species
UAGGGAAUCUUCCACAAUGGACGAAAGUACUGAUGGAGCAACGCCGCGUGAGUGAAGAAGGGUUUCGGCUCGUAAAACUCUGUUGUUAAAGAAGAACAUAUCUGAGAGUAACUGUUCAGGUAUUGACGGUAUUUAACCAGAAAGCCACGGCUAACUACGUGCUAG